GUAGCAAAUUGUCAACAUUUGCAAUUGUCAACAUUUUUCUCAACCACUCUCAACCACCUUCAACUACCCUCUCCACCAUCAACCACCCUCUCCUUUACAACCACUAUAUUUAUGCUUCCCUUUCUCAUGUAAACAGAUUCAAGACUGAAGACAAGAACGAGAGAGGAAGAGUGCAGUGUGUGUGCAAGAAGUAAGUGUGCAGAGAAGUGUGGUGAGUGCAACUGUGAGAGUGAGUGCAAGUGAAGAUUUGAGAGAAAAGAGUGUAAGAGUGAAACACUGGUUUUUUGUGGGUUGUAUUGGGUUGAGUUGAGUGUUUGUAUCAUUCCUCCAUUAAUAUACAAUCUGCUACCUCCGUGGACGUACCCGGUUUUGGGGAACCACGUAAAUCUGCUUGUGUUGUGUUUUAUUUGUGUUUGUUUUCGGUCCAGUAUGCACAACAAAUUGGUAUCAGAGCAUUAGGGAAGCUAGAACACUGAAAAAACACGUUUUUCAGCUCUCUGUUCAAAGUUGCAGAAUUUUCAAAGUUCUCAGAUCUUGCUUUUGACCAGCUGCGGAGAUUCCUCUCGUCCAUACGAGUCCGGCGAUAUAAAGAUUGUCGAAAUCGGAGUUGAAACGAGCCCUGUAGAGCGCGCCGAAGUUUUGCCGGAAAUCUGCCGGAAAAACCAGACAGUGCCGGAAUUCUCGCCUGAGAAGACAGCCACGUCAUCCGACACGUAGGCGCUGAGUCAUCAUCCACGUCAUCAACAGAGGGUCCACAUCGCUCUGUCAUCAGACACGUCAUCAGCCAUGUCAUCUAACAGUGACAGAAUAUUCUCUUGACAGAAUAAGAAUAUUCCGUUACCAGUAAGAGAAUAUUCCCAUGACAGAAUAUUCUUUAUCAGAGACAGAAUAUUCCUUCCCUGAGUCAACUCGGUCAGAUUGGUUUUUUGGCCAACUCAGUGAUUUUUUGACCCGUUUUUGGCCGAGUCAAGUUGGUUCCUAGCAUUUUCAACCAUUCCGGACGCAACCGUGGUGUCCGUUUUGUUAAACAGCAUACCGAAGUUACUGUUUUGGCACUUUUGAGCAUAAAAGUGUGUGUUUUAACAAUUUCGGGAUUCCAUUUGUAAUCCAAAAGACGUCCUAAUGGGUGAUAUUCCAGAAGAAAAAUCAGCGGGGAAUGCUAGUAUACCUCCACAAUACAUCCCGGUAUCGAAUACCAAAUUUGAGGUGGAGAAGUUUGAUGGGAAAGGUAAUUUUGGCAUGUGGAAAUGUGAAGUCAUGGAUAUGCUUGUCCAAAUGAAUUUAGAUUUCACUCUAGAAGAUAAACCAGAGGAUCUGGAUGAUAAAAGUUGGGAAAGGAUAAAUCGGCUGGCUUGCAGUUCUAUCCGACUUUGUCUUGUAAAGGAUCAGAAGUACGCCUUUUCAGAACAAAACUCUGCAAAGGAAUUAUGGCAAGCACUGGAGGACAAGUUUAUGAAGAAGAGUAUAGAGAAUCGUCUCUACGUGAAGAAAAGGAUCUUCCGUUUUCAGCACAAGAAAGGUACUUCUAUGAAUGAGCAUCUAAAUGAUUUCAAUAAAAUGAUAGCUGAUUUGAAGAAUUUAGAUGUGGAAAUUGAUGAUGAAGAUAAAGCUCUAUUGUUAUUGAAUUCACUGCCUGACACAUAUGAACAUCUCGUCACCACUUUACUGUAUGGUAAAGAAAAGAUUAAAUUCAUUGAUGUGUCCAAUGCUUUGGUGAAUAAUGAGUACCGAAAGAAGGACCAGAUUGUUCACAAGGAGUCAACGUCAGAAGCAUUGACAGUUAGAGGCAGAACAAACCCCAGAAGAUUUCGAGGGCGAGGGAGAUCUCGCUCAAAAUCCAGAGGAGAAUCAUCAAACAGACGAUAUCUUGCAAAAGAUGAGUGUGCCUUUUGUCACAAAAAGGGGCACUGGAAGAAAGAUUGUCCAAUCAAGGGCAACAAGGAAAAAGAUGAACCAACUGUGAACGUUGCACGAGAUGAGGAUGAACAAGACUCUGCAUUCAUGGUCUCAUCACCAGAAAACCAUUCUGGUGAAUGGGUUCUUGAUUCUGCAUGUUCCUAUCACAUGUGCCCUAACAAGCACUUAUUCUCGAGACUCGAGGAGUUCGAUGGAGGAGGUGUGUUGAUGGGUAAUGAUGAUGUGAGUGAGAUCAAAGGGAUUGGGACUAUCCAUCUGAAGAUGCAUAAUGGGGUAGUCAAGACACUAACAGAUGUACGGUAUGUACCUGACUUGAAGAAAAAUCUCUUCUCACUUGGAGUUCUAGAAUCCAGUGGUUAUAAGAUUAUCAUGCAUGGUGGAGUCUUGAGAGCAAUCCGUGGUGCAUUAGUUGUCUUAAGAGGCACGAGGAUAAGAAACUUAUAUUUCCUGGAUGGAUCUACAGUUACUGGUACAACAGCUGUUUCCAAAAGUAUAGAAGAUGAUGAAGCAGAUAAUUCCAGACUUUGGCACAUGCGCUUAGGGCAUGCUGGUGAAAAGGCUUUGCAAGGAUUAGUCAAGCAAGGUCUAUUAAAAGGCGCCAAGACUGGGAAGCAUGGGUUCUGCGAGCAUUGUGUUCUUGGAAAACAGACAAGGGUCAAGUUUGGCACUGCGGUACACAACACAAAAGGGAUCCUAGAUUAUGUUCACACAGACGUAUGGGGACCUUCAAAGAAUGAAUCUCUUGGAGGUAAUCGUUGGUUUGUUACUUUUAUUGAUGAUUUCUCAAGACGAGUAUGGGUGUACAUGAUGAAACACAAGGAUGAGGUCCUUGAUAUCUUUCUGAAAUGGAAGAAAAUGGUGGAGACUCAAACUGGAAGGAGGGUUAAGACUCUUCGGUCAGAUAAUGGUGGCGAGUACACUUCAGAUCCUUUCUUUGAAGUUUGUCAGGAUGAAGGGAUCAAGCGACAUUUUACUGUUCGCAAAACACCACAACAGAAUGGAGUAGCGGAACGCAUGAACCGCACAUUGGUGGAGAAAGUCCGAUGUAUGCUAUCACAUUCGGGACUAAGCAAAGUGUUUUGGGGCGAGGCAUUAAGCUAUGCUCGUCAUAUUGUUAAUCGGUUACCUUCAGCAGCAUUAAAUGGAAGAACCCCUUUAGAGGUAUGGUCAGGCUCUCCUGCAAAUGAUUAUGACUCUAUGCGUAUAUUUGGUUGCUCAGCAUAUUAUCAUGUUACUGAGUCCAAGCUAGAUCCUAGAGCCAAGAAAGCUAUAUUUUUGGGCUUUAGUGGAGGAGUAAAAGGCUACAGACUCUGGUGUUCUGAAUCAAAGAAAGUGAUCUUGAGUAGAGAUGUCACUUUUGAUGAGUCUGGCAUGUUACAGCAAGAGAAAUCACAGGAGAAGGAAAAACAGUCUGGUGAUGCACAACAGGUGGAGUUGGAGACUUCAGUCAUUCCUAUAAAGACUGUUCAGACAAUCCCUACUGAAGGAGAUUCAGAUGAAAGUUCAGACGAAGAGGAUGCAACAACUCCAGCAACCACACAACAAGAAUCCAUUGCAACGAGUAAACCGAAAAGAGUUAUCAAGAAACCUGCUCGGUAUUGUAACAUGGUGGCUUAUGCACUUCCGGUGAUUGAUGAUGGAAUCCCCUACACCUACAAAGAAGCAGUACAGAGUGUAGAAAGUGCAAAAUGGAAAGAGGCAAUGGAUGAAGAGAUGAAAUCUCUCCACAAGAAUCAGACUUGGGAUUUGGUACAACUCCCUAAAGGAAAGAAGACAAUUGGUUGCAAGUGGGUAUAUGCCAAGAAGGAAGGUAAUCCUGGAAAAGACAACAUCCGAUUCAAAGCAAGAUUGGUAGCAAAAGGCUAUGCUCAGAAGGAGGGGAUAGAUUAUAAUGAGGUAUUCUCUCCAGUUGUUAAGCAUUCAUCAAUUCGUAUUCUGUUAGCCUUGGUUGCACAGUUUGAUUUGGAGUUAGCCCAACUUGAUGUGAAAACUGCCUUCCUACAUGGAGAUUUGGAAGAGGAAAUUUACAUGUCUCAGCCAGAUGGUUUCAAAGUCACUGGGAAAGAGAAUUGGGCUUGUAAACUGAAGAAGUCAUUAUACGGAUUGAAACAAUCUCCUCGCUAGUGGUAUAAGCGAUUUGAUAAGUUCAUGGCAGAACAUGGAUACACACGGAGUCAGUUUGAUCACUGUGUAUAUUUUCGCAAACUUCUUGAUGGUUCUUUCAUCUAUUUGCUCUUAUAUGUGGAUGAUAUGUUGAUCGCAUCAAAGAGCAAGGUGGAGAUUGAUAGACUGAAAGCUCAACUGAGAACUGAGUUUGAAAUGAAGGACCUUGGAGAAGCUAAGAAGAUUCUUGGCAUGGAGAUUCAGAGAGACAGAAGAAAAGGCACAGUCUGUUUGACACAGACCCAAUACUUGAAGAAAAUUCUACAGAGAUUUGGGGUAGAUGGUAAGACCAAGCCUGUAAGCACACCUUUAGCUCCUCAUUUUAAGCUAAGUGCUUCAAUGUCUCCACGCACAGAGGAAGAGCGCAAGCAUAUGGCUCAAAUUCCUUAUGCAAAUGCAGUUGGUGCAUUAAUGUAUGCAAUGGUUUGUACGAGACCAGAUAUUUCACAUGCUGUCAGUAUGGUGAGCAGGUAUAUGCAUGAUCCGGGAAAGGGUCACUGGCAGGCAGUUAAGUGGAUUCUACGGUACAUUCAUGGCACAACUGAUAUUGGUUUGAAGUUUGAGAGGGAUGAUAGACUCGGGCAAAAUUUAGUUGGUUAUGUGGACUCGGACUAUGCUGGUGACUUAGACAAGCGUCGUUCAACAACAGGCUAUGUGUUCACACUUGCUAAAGGGCCUGUAAGUUGGAGGUCAACGUUACAAUCAACAAUAGCUUUGUCAACAACUGAGGCAGAGUACAUGGCAGUAACAGAAGCUUUCAAGGAAGCUAUUUGGUUACAUGGGUUGAUUGAAGAUUUGGGAAUUGUUCAAGAGCACGUGGAUGUCCAUUGUGAUAGUCAAAGUGCUAUUUGUCUUGCAAAGAAUCAGGUUCAUCAUUCCCGCACCAAGCACAUCGAUGUUCGAUUUCAUUUUGUUCGAGAAAUUGUGGAUGAAGGGGAUAUUCUGCUACAGAAGAUUGGUACCGCAGAUAAUCCAGCUGACAUGCUCACAAAAUGUGUCUCAGGGAUCAAGUUCCAACAUUGUUUGGACUUGGUCAACAUCUCUCGGUGUUGAGCACCUUCAGGGUGCAGCGCCAUACGGCGCGUUAGAGGCAGCAUUGAUUGAUCACGAGGAUUGCAUGGAAAAAUCUUGCCAAGGUGGAGAUUUGUAGCAAAUUGUCAACAUUUGCAAUUGUCAACAUUUUUCUCAACCACUCUCAACCACCUUCAACUACCCUCUCCACCAUCAACCACCCUCUCCUUUACAACCACUAUAUUUAUGCUUCCCUUUCUCAUGUAAACAGAUUCAAGACUGAAGACAAGAACGAGAGAGGAAGAGUGCAGUGUGUGUGCAAGAAGUAAGUGUGCAGAGAAGUGUGGUGAGUGCAACUGUGAGAGUGAGUGCAAGUGAAGAUUUGAGAGAAAAGAGUGUAAGAGUGAAACACUGGUUUUUUGUGGGUUGUAUUGGGUUGAGUUGAGUGUUUGUAUCAUUCCUCCAUUAAUAUACAAUCUGCUACCUCCGUGGACGUACCCGGUUUUGGGGAACCACGUAAAUCUGCUUGUGUUGUGUUUUAUUUGUGUUUG
rnacentral:lncRNA from 1 species